GGCAUCACAGCCUAACGGGUUAGCGCCUUGUGCUGCUAAUCCCUAGGUCUUGGGUUCGACUCCCCGUGAUGACA